rnacentral:misc_RNA from 1 species
GAUGAAGAACGUAGCGAAAUGCGAUAAGUAAUGUGAAUUGCAGAAUUCAGUGAACCAUCGAAUCUUUGAACGCACAUUGCGCCCGGCAGUAAUCUGCCGGGCAUGCCUGUCCGAGCGUCAUUUCUCCCCUCGAGCGCAGCUUUCCCCCCCGGGGGAGGGCCGCGCCCGGUGUUGGGGCGCUACGGAGGAGCCCAGCGCUCCCCCGUAGGCCCCGAAAUGUAGUGGCGGUCCCGCCGCGGCGCCCCCUGCGUAGUAGUUUUACAACUCGCAUCGGGUCCCGGCGGAGGCCAGCCGUCAAACCCCCCAACUUCAAUAGUUUGACCUCGGAUCAGGUAGGGUUACCCGCUGAACUUAAGCAUAUCAAAAGCGGAGGA